CCUAAGUGAGACAUCUGGGAGGGCCCAGAGGUUUCAGUUUUCGUGAGUCUUCCAAGGGAUUCUACACCCAAACCUAUGACAUCCUCUGGCCUAACGUAGAACUGACACAGGAAGAACUCGGUAGGCCACCAAUGAGGCCGCUCUAUGAACAGCAGGAUCUCCAGCAUCUCAUGUUAAAGGAGUUGAUCACAUGUCUGGACCUACAUAAACCAACAUGCGCUUCCAAAUGGCAUGAAGAAUCCCUGAUCUCUCUCUGUAGUCAGUCUAGAUUCAGUGUGGGAGACGGGGUUUUCUGUAGUUACAAAAUACCUUUUUAUGUGUUCCUCAAGGAACUAAGUGUCUGAAAUCUACACUCAAGUCUCCUGAGUUUCCAUUUAGAAGAUGACAUUUCGGUAAAACUUGGAAAGCUUCUAUAGGCAGUGCUCUUGUCCGGAGAAUGGAAUAAAUAAAACCCGGGGUCUCCUGAAGAUCCAUACCCUGUCCACCCGGUGGCAAACUCAGAAGCCUGUGUGCUGUUGUGUGGAUGAGAACAGAAGAAAACUGUACUCUAAUUGGAAAGAAAACGUGCUCAUUUUCAACAGUUGUGGGGGGACAGAACACCUGGAGCGCCUUCUGAGAAACCAGGCCAAAUGGCCUAACCUGCUCUGUCUUGGAACAUUUGGGAGCGUUCUAGACAGGUCACAUGUCAGUAUUGGUGAUGGAAAAAUACACUGUGCUUGUGGGUAGAGAAAUCA